AUUUUAAUAGUUUAAUAAAAACAUUGGUCUUGUAAAUCAAAAAUAAAUUUUAAUUUUUAAAAUA
rnacentral:tRNA from 1 species